UAUGGCUCAGGAUUAACGCUGGCGGCGUGCCUAACACAUGCAAGUCGAACGGACGUCUUCGGACGUCAGUGGCGAACGGGUGAGUAACGCGUAGGUAAUGUGCCUCUGCGCUGCGAAUAACAGCCUGAAAAGGCUGCUAAUACGGAAUGGUCCUCUCGGGGGGCAUCCCCCUUGAGGUAAAGAUUUAUCGCGCGGAGAUCAGCCUGCGUCCUAUUAGUUAGUUGGCGGGGUAACGGCCCACCAAGACGACGAUGGGUAACUGGUCUGAGAGGAUGAACAGUCACACUGGAACUGAGAACGGUCCAGACUCCUACGGGAGGCAGCAGUGAGGAAUUUUGCGCAAUGGAGGGAACUCUGACGCAAGCAACGCCGCGUGAGUGAUGACGGCCUUCGGGUUGUAAAGCUCUGUCGAGAGGGACGAGUAGGGACGGUACCUCUCAAGAAAGCCCCGGCUAACUAUGUGCCAGCAGCUGC
rnacentral:rRNA from 1 species